GUCGGAAUGGUACGCACCGUUUCUGUAAAGUGACAUCUUUCAGAUAUUUUGUGGCUUUUCAUAUAUGCAUACCCUUGAUGGCCUGGGCAGUUUCACGAGUGUUCUUAAGGUGAAUACAAAGAUUGGAACCUCUUGAUUUGCAUGAUUUUGUGGGGUUCUCCCGGUCAAGUGUAUAGGGCACCAUUUUCACAGAUUACCUCCGGCUACUUAGGAAAAGAGCCAUUCUAUAUCUUUUAAGUGGAGCAUUUAGGCCAUUUACAUUCAAUGUUAUUAUUGAGAUUUGAGGUACUAUUCUAUUCACCAUGCUAUUUGUCACCCGAAUAUCUAGGUUUUUUCAUUGUGUUAUUGUUUCAUAGAUCCUGUGAGAUGUACGCUUUAAGGAGAUUUUAUUUUGUGUAUUUCAAAGAUUUGUUUUGAGAUUUAGAACUUUUUUUUAGCAGUACUUGUAGUACUAGCUUGGUUAUGGUGAAUUCUCCCAGCAUUUGUUUGUCUGGAAAAGACUGUAUCUUUCCUUCAUUUAUGAAGCUUAGUUUCACUGGAUUCAAAAUUCUUGG
rnacentral:lncRNA from 1 species